ensembl:lncRNA
AGUGCUCCUAAGAGGCACUGAAGGACAGACACAGCGCAUAAAGAGAUACGGCUAUGAGUUCCAACAGCAGGAACAUACCUGGGGUGGUCCCCCGAGUGACCUAAAUCUCCUGAGUUACAGACGUUGAGCCUGCUUCCCCAGAGGACUGAGGAGCUAUGGAAGAGGUGCUUGCUUUUGGUUUGUAAAGGUUAGAAAGAAAACUCUCCCCAUGGAGAGAAACCAUCUUGGAGAGGGAGGCUAUUUGAUGGACCGUGUGUCUGCUGUGGUCGUGAAUCAUAGGCUAAAUGUGUAAGAAACUAAGUCAGGCGUUGCGAGCAUAUGGGGUAAGUCCCUCAGCUUUCUUGCACUGCCCGAAAUUCCACCAAUGGAAUCUAGUUAGUCUCUAGAUCUUUAAGCUCUUCAGUCUGGAAGACCCCGUGGAGAGGGAGAAUACUCAAGUACCAAUUCAAGAAGUAGAGCUUCAAUUUUUGCCUCAGUUCCACCACUAACCAUGGCUAUACAAAAUUCCUUAGCAUUUAUUGAUAAAAUGGGAAUCAUGAUGCCUGCCCGGUCAACCUUGAUAUAGGGAUUUUAUAGGAAAAUAAUAAUAUGGUAUGGGAUUAGACUAAUCCUUUGGAUAAUUUAGACAAGUGGAGAGACCCUUGGUGGAUUUAGGCACAUAGGAAAGAAGAGUUAAGAAAUUCCAACUUCAAUCCCAAACCUCGGUCCUAAAUUCCACGUCGGCAAACUGGCUGUAGAUCUUUGCUCCUCGCCCUCAUUUCACAAUGAAGGCACUUCUUUUCUUGGCUUAUUAAACAUUAACCUAAAAGCUGCCUCAAUUGAGAAAUGAAGAAAGUGCCUGUAGAAAUGGCCAUGGCAUUGGGCUGGGGUUGAGAGGAGGAGGGGUGCAGGGAAAUGGAAAGUUAAAAUAGAGGGAGAGUGAAAAAGAAAGCAUGAGAAAAUUCUUUGCCCAUGUCAACUUAUAGAUGAUCACUGCAUAAAUAUUGGGUUAGCUGAAAUGUCAGAGAAGAGGCUAAGGACUGGGCAUGGGAGGUGUCAGGAGACUUUUGAUUACAAAGCCAAAAAGUUUGUUUUUAUCUAGAGAACCCCCAAAGUCUUGAGUAUAAGAAAAUGGAAACAGUUGUGUUUGUGCUAAAGAGCAGUCCAGCUCUUUAGAGGAUUUGUGUUUAGAAGAUUUGAAGAGCAAGAACAGUGGAAGCAGGGAGCCAGCAGGGCAGUGGUGGUGACAGUUCAGACCUGAAAUUAUGGCCCAAACUAAAGCAUUUCCAGUAGGGACGGAGAAGAAGGAACACACUUGAAAGACUGAACUUGUAGCUGGCUGUAGGAACUAACAGAAAGAGAAGGGUCAAAAAGAUACCUAGGUUUUCGGGAGUUCCUGUUUUUGUGCUUCAGAAAUGAACCCAACUAGUAUCCAUGAGGAUGCAGGUUCAAUCCCUGGCCUUGCUCAGUGGGUUAAGGAUCCAGCAUUGCUGUGAGCUGUGCUUCAGGUCACAGAUGCGACUCAGAUCCUGCAUUGCUGUGGCUGUGGUACAGACCGGCAGCUGUAGCUCUGAUUCAGCCCCUAGCCUGGGAACUUCCAUAUGCCGUAGUUGUGGCCCUAAAAGCAAAACAACAACAACAACAACAACAACAACAACAAAAACCCACAAACAAAAAGAUAUCUAGCUUUUUGAAGAAAUUGUAAUUCUGUCCCUCAAGGUAUUGAUUAUUUGAGAAGAAGCCAAUUUGGCAGAAUUGAUGGAAGUUGGAUUGGAUUAGGAUAUGGGGAGAGAUGAUUUCACAUUUAAACAUGUUAAAUUUGGCGACGUUUGUGGGAAAUCCAAUUGAGACUUCUAAUAAGCAGUUAAAUAUAUGAAUCCAAAUCUCUGAGCUGGGAAUACAGGUUGGAUUGUCCCUCAGAUAUUACAUAAAGUCAUGUGAGUGGCGGAGAUGGCUGAAGGUGGGUGAAUCGUGGACUUAUGAUGAAAUACAGGCAAUGUCAACACUUAGUGAAAAAGGAGACUGCAAAGAAAACCAAAGAGGAGCUAGAAAAGUAGGUGGAAAAUUGAGAUCAAAGGAUAUCCAAUGAUCCAAAGGUAGACAAUUUUAAAGAGGAAAGAGGAGGGAGUGGUUGAUAGUUCUAAAUGAUUAAGAGAUUGUAUUCAGCAGCUAAGCCUUGAGUGACCUUGGCAGUGGAAUGCAAGAAACAGAAACCAUGCUGGUAAUAUAUGAGGAAGGCAGUGCAGGCAGGGUGGAAUUAUCUUUUGGAAAGUU